rnacentral:rRNA from 1 species
UGGGGAAUAUUGGACAAUGGGGGCAACCCUGAUCCAGCAAUGCCGCGUGUGUGAAGAAGGCCUUCGGGUUGUAAAGCACUUUUAGUGGGGAAGAACAAGUUCGAGGCUAAUACCCUCGAGCUCUGACGUUACCCAAAGAAAAAGCACCGGCUAACUCUGUGCCAGCAGCCGCGGUAAUACAGAGGGUGCAAGCGUUAAUCGGAAUUACUGGGCGUAAAGGGCAUGUAGGUGGGUAUUUAAGUCGAUUGUGAAAGCCCCGAGCUUAACUUGGGAACUGCAGUCGAUACUGAAUAUCUAGAGUAUGGUAGAGGGAAGUGGAAUUUCCGGUGUAGCGGUGAAAUGCGUAGAUAUCGGAAGGAACACCAGUGGCGAAGGCGUCUUCCUGGACCAAUACUGACACUAAAGUGCGAAAGCGUGGGGAGCAAACAG